CGAACCGACUGAUGUUGAAAAAUCAGCGGAUGAGUUGUGGUUAGGGGUGAAAUACCAAUCGAAUUCGGAGCUAGCUGGUUCUCCCCGAAAUGUGUUUAGGCGCAGCGGUUAAUAUUAUAGCUUAGAGGUAAAGCACUGUUUCGGUGCGGGCUGGUAAUUCGGUACCAAAUCGAGGCAAACUCUGAAUACUAAGUGAACAGUUAACCAGUAAGACUGUGGGGGAUAAGCUUCAUAGUCAAGAGGGAAACAGCCCAGAUCACCAGUUAAGGCCCCUAAAUAAUUAUUAAGUGGUAAAGGAGGUGGGAAGACUCAGACAGCCAGGAGGUUUGCUUAGAAGCAGCAAUCCUUUAAAGAGUGCGUAAUAGCUCACUGGUCUAGUAAUCCUGCGCCGAAAAUGAACGGGACUUAAAUAAUUUGCCGAAGCUGUGAGAUAUUUAUUACAAGUAAAUAUCGGUAGGGGAGCGUUCUGUUGUAGGUUGAAGCAUUAACGUAAGUGGGUGUGGACGAAGCAGAAGUGAGAAUGUCGGCUUGAGUAGCGAAAACAUUGGUGAGAAUCCAAUGCCCCGAAAACCUAAGGUUUCCCCCGGAAGGCUCGUCCGCGGGGGGUGAGUCAGGACCUAAGGCGAGGUCGAAAGACGUAGUCGAUGGACAAUAGGUUAAUAUUCCUAUACCGUUUUUUAUUGGCAACGAGGGACGAAGAAGGCUAAACUUAUCCAGAUAGUGGUCACUGGUCCAAGCAUUCAAGGUUAUGAGAAAUAGUGAAAAUAUUUUGAGCUGAGAUGUGAUGGGGAGAUACUUAGUAUUGAAGUAGUUGAUGUCAUGCUUCCAAGAAAAGCUUGCACUGUCAUAAAUAGAAAACGCCUGUACCCUAAACCGACACAGGUAGGUAGGUAGAGUAUACUAAGGGGCGCGAGAUAACUCUCUCUAAGGAACUCGGCAAAAUAACCCCGUAACUUUGGGAGAAGGGGUACCCUAUGGGUUGCAAUAACAAGGUCCAAGCGACUGUUUAUCAAAAACACAGGUCUCCGCGAAGUCGAAAGACAAUGUAUGGGGGCUGACGCCUGCCCAGUGCCGGAAGGUUAAAGAAGCUGGUUAGCAGUAGCGAAGCUAGUGACUGAAGCCCCGGUGAACGGCGGCCGUAACUAUAACGGUCCUAAGGGA
rnacentral:rRNA from 1 species